rnacentral:lncRNA from 1 species
UUCAAACACGAUUGGACGGUCGAGAUCAAACGCGAGAAACGGUCCAUAUUUAAGAGAGACGUGUAUAAAUAUCUCGUAUCACACUAAAUCUAAAUUCUAGUCGCUAAUCCCCGCCAGAGAAGAAGAAUCAGUUGUCAGAUAAAAGAGCUUACCGUUGCUUGCCAUCGCGCCAGAGUCACAUCCGAUCACCAAAAAAGAU